UGGUUUAAUUCACUGCUUUGGUUUUUCUUAUGGUUGUAUUGCAUUCUCUUUUGAAGUUGUUGGUAUCAUUUCCACUGUCUCCUCUUAGAUUUGCUUGUAUUCUCAUUUGGAAAAACAACAAGAAUAUGAUAUCUUCUAGCCAAAUAAUACCAUGCUCAUUUAUUCUGUUAAUGGAUAAUUCUUUUUGGGUUGUAAAGAAUGUAGGAGAAGUAAUUUUGUGUAUUUCAUUGUACCUGUUUGUGUAAUUUAAUACAUUUUUUAGACGUUACUAGCCACACAGGCACCCCCACAUAUGCACCACAUGCACCUCUACAUGUGGAUGCAUCCGUAUGACAUUCCUGCCUUGUAUCAGUGGAGACCCUCUGUGUAGACCAUUCUGCCAAAAACUCAGGCCGGUAAAGCUAUCAGGUAUGUGGCAGAUGCUUGGAAACAAUGGACAGUCCAUCCUGUUUGCAAUCAUCUCUUGCCUGCCUAAGAGUUGAAUGGCCCAAUGUUUUGUCCAGAUCGUCUACCUGGUGUUCCACCUGAUAUACAGCUCGGAUACCCUGCACAUGUUACAGGUUGGCACAUGUGUCCCCGUGUGUGUGGCUAGCAAACCUUUUAGUUGAUUUUUUAUUUGUCAAGUUGUACAUAGGUAGCUAUUAAAAAAAAAAAGAUACGGGAACAUUGGGACAUCAUUUAUCGCCUCGCCGUCAAGAAGGACAAGCCUGUUAACAGCUUCUUCUCUCAAUCGGAGUCUGGUGUGGUUUGGGAUAUCAGCUGCUGUCGAAAUCUUUACAACUGGGAGGUAGCUAAUUUUGCUGAUCUUAUGCUCUGCUUAUCUAGGGUCAGCCCGUCCCUGUCCAACCCGGAUAAAAUCAUUUGGCCCAAAGAAAAAUCCUCCAAUUUCUCGGUGAAGUCCCUCUACGCUAUUCUUCUCCCCUCCUCUCCCCCUGCAUCGUUGGCUUCUCCGUAUAUCUGGAAAUAUUCCGUUCCCCCAAAAUACAUCUGCUUUGCUUGGCUGGCCUCUAGGAAUUGGAUCCUCACCUUAGACAACCUCAUGAAGAAAGAUCCGGCAGGAUUUUUUUUCAAGCUUCAACGUUUGCGGCUGCAUGCCAGCUUCUGCCUGCUCUUUGCUUGCUUACUGGCACGGCUUCAAGUUUAGAAAAAUCAGAUCUAAGGUUUGGAAAAUGGCUAUCAUGGCUAUCUAGUGGGCGGUCUGGAAGGAGAGAAACGACAGAUGCUUCAACAAUGGGCAAGCUUCGGCUCAAGUAGUGGGAUCGCGAGCAAAAAAACUCCUUAUUGAAUGGGCUUCUAAUGUGCCUCUUCUUAGAGAUUUUAACUUUAUCUUUUUAGGCUUAUAGCGUUUCUUUUUUGGUUAUGGCUCUGCUAUCUCAGCAGCCUCCCCUGUUCUCUUCCGUUAUUCAAUAUAAUCCCGUUGCUUAAAAAAAAAAAAAAACAUUGGGACAUCAUGAAGUCCAUGAUCACCAUUUGUAGCACACAGCGGUAGAUUACAUAUUGGCUAAGGGCCAUUCAAAUGAGAUGUCUUAGCCUUUGGGGAUUAAAGAGUAAAAUUGAGUAUCGCUAUGUUCAACCUUGUUGUCUGAGUAUGUCUCACCUCAAUUGCUCCCAACCCUUUUGAAUAAUGCAUCCAUUUAUGAUUGUGAGAAAGUUGUUUAGUUUGUUCUCUUGUACUAUGCUAUGGCAACAUCAUGUAGCCCUUUCUAAAAGGUCUUCAUGCCAUUUUCUUUGGUUAAGAAAUUACAUUAUUAAACUAACUCUUCUUAUUCUGCCCUUUCGUUAGAGGGGUUUGGAACAGCAUUUUGGAAUUCUUCAAAAUUCCUUAGGUAACGCUGAACACAAUAGAGGGUCUAUUCAAUUCCUUGCAUGGUGGUAUGCUCAUUAGCAGAAUCAGGGGUACAUGGCAAUUAGCUCUUCUUGCCGUCCUUUGGACAGUUUGGGGUGACAGAAAUAGCCUCUGUUUUAGGAAUAUUUCUGGGUCUCUCUUGUCAGCGAUUUCCAAGUUUCUCUCUCAUUUAGGAUUGGGCCUCUGAUUACUGGGCCUUUGGGUCUGUUUUCUUAGUGUUGUUUUCUGCUCUUUUUUGUAUUCUUUGCCUUCGGGCGUUUGUUAAUAAAAUUCUUUGCCUCUCUC